GAUCAUGGCUCAGGAUGAACGCUAGCUACAGGCUUAACACAUGCAAGUCGCGGGGUAACAUCUGGUAGGGCUUGCUCUUCCAGGAUGACGACCGGCGCACGGGUGAGUAACGCGUAUCCAACCUGGCCCAUACCACGGGAUAGCCCGUCGAAAGGCGGAUUAAUACCGUAUGCUGUCAUUAAGAUGCAUAUAUUGAUGACGAAAGGACUGGCGGUAUGGGAUGGGGAUGCG
rnacentral:rRNA from 1 species